GAGGUCCAGCCUGUCAAUCACAUAGAAGCUCCGCCCCUCCAGGCUGGAACGAGGAGCUGCACUGCUGCUGCCCUCUUGAUGCUAUAGUACAGCGUGUGUGUCAUGGAUCGAGAGCUGCAGUUUAUUGUUUUCUGAAGACUGGAUUCUUCUUGGACAAGGGAAGGCUACCAAGCACCGGUAAGGACUAGAUAUCACAAACCGCUUCCAGCAAGUCAGACAGAUGGUCCGCUACUUUAAAUGUUUGUAUGUUGUUAUGGUGAUGGGAGUCACUUUAGGAUGACGUAAUCAGCUGUGGCCGGAAAGGAGGAGGGUUUUUCCUCAACCGCCGGCGCAGCGUUUUUUCACGGGUGCACGUGUAUUUAAGAUGGAACGGCAGGUGCAACAGAAAUUGAUUUGCAAUGCGUGCAACAUAAUGCCGUUGAACUGAGAAAGGGACCGGAAGUGGGGCAUAUGUAAUGGCGUCGAAGGACGGAAGUGGCAAGGCGGCCAUCUUGUGUGAGGCAUGUGGACGGAGGAGACCUCAAGCGGGACACAUACUACUUCCUGGGGUGAUAAUUAUUGCCGGACCGGAUCUGGAUUAAGCACAUCAAGGACUCACCUGUCUGCGUAAAGAAUCGAGCGGCAGGAAGUGGAUUCAUGUCACUUCCGGAAUUGAUGUCAUUUCCGUUUUUCCCCGUUCUACACACUUAUGCCCGGGACUAUGAAUUGAUAUAUCUGGUUUAGGUACCCACAUGAGUAAUGAUAUAGCAUUAUACACAUUCCGGGACAAUGCCUUUCAAUUUACACACCUGUGUCCCAUACAUAAUUAGGAUAGUAUAAAAGUUAAGUUAGAAGGAGGUCUCUCAUACCUUGACAAAGACCCUGGAACGGGCCGAAACGCGUUGGUGGAGAGAUCUAUCUUGGAAGAACAUACCCGUAGGAGACUAGGAGGAGAUCAGAUUGACGGGGCCCCGUUCUGUCUGUAUACCAUCUUCUUCCCCUCCGACCCUCCAGGGUAUGAUCACCAUUGUUUUUACCAGUGUUUGUUUGUUUGA